AGAGUUUGAUCCUGGCUCAGGAUGAACGCUGGCGGCGUGCCUAAUACAUGCAAGUCGAGCGAACGGACGAGAAGCUUGCUUCUCUGAUGUUAGCGGCGGACGGGUGAGUAACACGUGGAUAACCUACCUAUAAGACUGGGAUAACUUCGGGAAACCGGAGCUAAUACCGGAUAAUAUUUUGAACCGCAUGGUUCAAAAGUGAAAGACGGUCUUGCUGUCACUUAUAGAUGGAUCCGCGCUGCAUUAGCUAGUUGGUAAGGUAACGGCUUACCAAGGCAACGAUGCAUAGCCGACCUGAGAGGGUGAUCGGCCACACUGGAACUGAGACACGGUCCAGACUCCUACGGGAGGCAGCAGUAGGGAAUCUUCCGCAAUGGGCGAAAGCCUGACGGAGCAACGCCGCGUGAGUGAUGAAGGUCUUCGGAUCGUAAAACUCUGUUAUUAGGGAAGAACAUAUGUGUAAGUAACUGUGCACAUCUUGACGGUACCUAAUCAGAAAGCCACGGCUAACUACGUGCCAGCAGCCGCGGUAAUACGUAGGUGGCAAGCGUUAUCCGGAAUUAUUGGGCGUAAAGCGCGCGUAGGCGGUUUUUUAAGUCUGAUGUGAAAGCCCACGGCUCAACCGUGGAGGGUCAUUGGAAACUGGAAAACUUGAGUGCAGAAGAGGAAAGUGGAAUUCCAUGUGUAGCGGUGAAAUGCGCAGAGAUAUGGAGGAACACCAGUGGCGAAGGCGACUUUCUGGUCUGUAACUGACGCUGAUGUGCGAAAGCGUGGGGAUCAAACAGGAUUAGAUACCCUGGUAGUCCACGCCGUAAACGAUGAGUGCUAAGUGUUAGGGGGUUUCCGCCCCUUAGUGCUGCAGCUAACGCAUUAAGCACUCCGCCUGGGGAGUACGACCGCAAGGUUGAAACUCAAAGGAAUUGACGGGGACCCGCACAAGCGGUGGAGCAUGUGGUUUAAUUCGAAGCAACGCGAAGAACCUUACCAAAUCUUGACAUCCUUUGACAACUCUAGAGAUAGAGCCUUCCCCUUCGGGGGACAAAGUGACAGGUGGUGCAUGGUUGUCGUCAGCUCGUGUCGUGAGAUGUUGGGUUAAGUCCCGCAACGAGCGCAACCCUUAAGCUUAGUUGCCAUCAUUAAGUUGGGCACUCUAAGUUGACUGCCGGUGACAAACCGGAGGAAGGUGGGGAUGACGUCAAAUCAUCAUGCCCCUUAUGAUUUGGGCUACACACGUGCUACAAUGGACAAUACAAAGGGCAGCGAAACCGCGAGGUCAAGCAAAUCCCAUAAAGUUGUUCUCAGUUCGGAUUGUAGUCUGCAACUCGACUACAUGAAGCUGGAAUCGCUAGUAAUCGUAGAUCAGCAUGCUACGGUGAAUACGUUCCCGGGUCUUGUACACACCGCCCGUCACACCACGAGAGUUUGUAACACCCGAAGCCGGUGGAGUAACCUUUUAGGAGCUAG
rnacentral:rRNA from 1 species